GCUUGUGAGAAGCAAAAAAGCAGAGUUCCCACAGUGAACAGCUAGCUACAACUCUAGCUGUCCUAGGCAUUAGGAUAAGGAGGAUCUUAUGCAUCUAUUUUGGAAGAGCCUAGGGAAAAACCUUAGAAGGAGCCUAAGAUGAAGGAUUGGGCCUUCUGAAGCCUUGUACUUAAGAGGCUGGAGUAUGAGAACUGGAGUUCUCAUGGAGUAUGAGUGUUGUCAGAGGCAACCCACUGAGAAGAUGCUUGAUGCUUCAGUAUUAUGUCCAAGCUUUGAUAUUGCGUCCUGCCUCAGUGUGAAUCUGAAGCUGACUACUUCAGUGCCAAGAAGCAGAAACCCCAGCUCCUUCUCACAGGACUGAUUUUAUCUGGUAUGCAGGGACCUCAGCUGAAGAACAAGCUGAGAAAGAAGCAUCCUCACACCUGCCUGCUAGACUUCUCACUCUUGAGCCUAUUAUCUGGUCAGACUA